CAACAUGGUCAUGUUAUCAUUUCUCAUUAAUACAUUGCAAAUGAAUCAGUAUAUAAUAAGCAUCGCUCUUUGGGAUCAGUUUAGUAUGCUAAACUAUUUUCCAAACACCAAACGUGCGAAAUGAAACAAUUAUACCUUCUUGCACUAAUCGUGCUCAUCGUAGCAACGUGCCUCAUGUAUGAGACAGCAUCUGCUCCCAGCCAAAUCGUAAAGCGUGAAGCAAUGUAUCAAGUGGAGCAAUGUACCGAUGGAACAAUUGAAUGCCCAAUGCCGCAUUGGGACGAGGGCAAGAAUGAUUUUGUUGAACCACUACCAUAACACUGUCUUUUUUAUGUUAUUACAUUUUCGCAUUCGCAGCAAUAAAACAGUAUUUUACAACAACAA